UGGUCAAGUUAUUAAGGGUGCAGGGCGGAUGCCUUGGCACUAGGAGCCGAUGAAGGACGUGAUAAGCUGCGAUAAGCUUCGGGGAGUUGCACGUAAACUUUGAUCCGAAGAUUUCCGAAUGAGGAAACUCACUUAGAGUAAUGUCUAAGUAUCAUUAAGUGAAUACAUAGCUUAAUGAGGGGAACUCAGGGAACUGAAACAUCUAAGUACCUGAAGGAAGAGAAAGAAAUUCGAUUCCGUAAGUAGCGGCGAGCGAACGCGGAUUAGCCCAAACCAAUAAAGUUUUCUUUAUUGGGGUUGAGGACAUACCACAUAUAAGAGGUCAUUAUAGACGAAGAAGUUUGGAAAAACUCAUCAUAGAAGGUAAUAAUCCUGUAGUCAAAAUAAUAAUUCUUUAGGUAUGAUCCAGAGUACCACGGGACACGUGAAACCCUGUGGGAAGCAGGAGGGACCACCCUCCAAGGCUAAAUACUACCUAGUGACCGAUAGCGUAUAGUACCGUGAGGGAAAGGUGAAAAGAACCCCGGGAGGGGAGUGAAAUAGAACCUGAAACCCUGCACUUACAAGCUGUGGAAGCACAUUUCUUGUGUGACCGCGUACUUUUUGUAGAACGGGCCAACGAGUUACGUUAAGUAGCAAGGUUAAGCACUUAAGGUGCGGAGCCGUAGCGAAAGCGAGUUUUAACUGAGCGUUCAGUUACUUGACGUAGACCCGAAACCGGGCGACCUACCCAUGAGCAGGAUGAAGCGAAAGUAAAAUUUCGUGGAGGUCCGAACCCACGAGCGUUGAAAAGCUCGGGGAUGACUUGUGGGUAGCGGUGAAAUUCCAAUCGAGCCCGGAGAUAGCUGGUUCUCCCCGAAAUAGCUUUAGGGCUAGCCUCAAGGUGAGAGAUACGGAGGUAGAGCACUGAAUGUCCUAGGGGGUAUUGCACCUACCGAAGACUAUCAAACUCCGAAUGCCGUCAUCUUAUACUUGGGAGUCAGACUGUGGGUGAUAAGAUUCAUAGUCGAAAGGGCAACAGCCCAGAUCGUCAGCUAAGGUCCCUAAAUGUAAGUUAAGUGGUAAAGGAUGUGGGAUUGCACAGACAACCAGGAUGUUGGCUUAGAAGCAGCCACUCAUUCAAAGAGUGCGUAAUAGCUCACUGGUCGAGUGAUCCUGCGCCGAAGAUUUCCGGGGCUAAAACUUACUACCGAAGCUACGGCAUCAGUAAUGAUGGGUAGGGGAGCUUCCCAUACGGGUUGAAGCAUGACCGUAAGGACAUGUGGACAGUAUGGGAGUGAGAAUGUUGGCAUGAGUAGCGAGAUGUGGGUGAGAAUCCCACAGGCCGUAAACCCAAGGUUUCCAGGGAAGGUUCGUCCGCCCUGGGUUAGUCGGGACCUAAGCUGAGGCCGAAAGGCGUAGGUGAUGGACAACAGGUUGAUAUUCCUGUACUACCGAUAACCGUUUGAGAGAAGGGAUGACACAGUAGGAUAAGCUAAGCACACUGUUGGUUAUGUGUGCCCAAGCAUUGAGGCAGUCAAAGUAGGCAAAUCCGCUUUGAUAAUGCUGGGAUGUGAUGGGGAGCGAAAUUUAGUAGCGAAGUAGCUGAUUUCACACUGUCAAGAAAAGUCUCUAUCGAGGUUAAAGGUACCCGUACCGCAAACCGACACAGGUGGGUGAGGAGAGUAUCCUAAGGCCAGCGAGAGAACUGUUGUUAAGGAACUCGGCAAAAUGACCCCGUAACUUAGGGAUAAGGGGUGCCACCAUCAGGUGGCCGCAGAGAAUAGGCCCAAGCGACUGUUUACCAAAAACAUAGGUUUCUGCUAAGUCGCAAGACGAUGUAUAGGAGCUGACGCCUGCCCGGUGCUGGAAGGUUAAGGGGAUCUGUUAGAGCAAUCGAAGCAGUGAACUUAAGCCCCAGUAAACGGCGGCCGUAACUAUAACGGUCCUAAGGUAGCGAAAUUCCUUGUCGGGUAAGUUCCGACCCGCACGAAAGGCGUAACGAUUUGGGCACUGUCUCAACAACAGACUCGGUGAAAUUGUAAUUCCGGUGAAGAUGCCGGAUACCUGCGACAGGACGGAAAGACCCCAUGGAGCUUUACUGUAGCUUGACAUUGGGUCUUGGUACUACAUGUACAGGAUAGGUGGGAGGCUUUGAAACCAGGACGCCAGUUUUGGCGGAGCCAUCCUUGGGAUACCACCCUUGUAGUACUGGGACUCUAACCAUAGGCCAUGAAUCUGGUCUUGGGACACUGUCAGGUGGGCAGUUUGACUGGGGCGGUCGCCUCCCAAAAGGUAACGGAGGCGCUCAAAGGUUCUCUCAGUACGGUCGGAAAUCGUACGUAGAGUGUAAAGGCAAAAGAGAGCUUGAUUGCAAGACAUACAGGUCGAGCAAGGAUGAAAAUCGGACUUAGUGAUCCGGUGGUUCUGCGUGGAAGGGCCAUCGCUCAACGGAUAAAAGCUACCCUGGGGAUAACAGGCUUAUCUCCCCCAAGAGUCCACAUCGACGGGGAGGUUUGGCACCUCGAUGUCGGCUCAUCACAUCCUGGGGCUGCAGUAGGUCCCAAGGGUUGGGCUGUUCGCCCAUUAAAGUGGUACGCGAGCUGGGUUCAGAACGUCGUGAGACAGUUCGGUCCCUAUCCGUCGCAGGCGUAGGAAAUUUGAGAAGACCUGUCCUUAGUACGAGAGGACCGGGAUGGACGUACCUCUGGUGUACCAGUUGUCCUGCCAAGGGCAUGGCUGGGUAGCUAUGUACGGAAUGGAUAAGCGCUGAAAGCAUCUAAGCGCGAAGCCAACUUCAAGAUAAGAUUUCCCACCGCAAGGGUAAGACCCCAGAAAGACUAUCUGGUUGAUAGGUCGAAGGUGUAAGUGCAGCAAUGUAUUUAGCUUAUCGAUACUAAUAGGUCGAGGACUUGACCAAU
rnacentral:rRNA from 1 species